rnacentral:rRNA from 1 species
GACGAACGCUGGCGGCGUGCCUAAUACAUGCAAGUCGAGCGGACUUAAAAAGCUUGCUUUUUAAGUUAGCGGCGGACGGGUGAGUAACACGUGGGCAACCUGCCUGUAAGACUGGGAUAACUUCGGGAAACCGGAGCUAAUACCGGAUAAUCCUUUUCUACUCAUGUAGGAAAGCUGAAAGACGGUUUACGCUGUCACUUACAGAUGGGCCCGCGGCGCAUUAGCUAGUUGGUGAGGUAACGGCUCACCAAGGCGACGAUGCGUAGCCGACCUGAGAGGGUGAUCGGCCACACUGGGACUGAGACACGGCCCAGACUCCUACGGGAGGCAGCAGUAGGGAAUCUUCCGCAAUGGACGAAAGUCUGACGGAGCAACGCCGCGUGAGUGAUGAAGGUUUUCGGAUCGUAAAACUCUGUUGUUAGGGAAGAACAAGUACGAGAGUAACUGCUCGUACCUUGACGGUACCUAACCAGAAAGCCACGGCUAACUACGUGCCAGCGCCG